rnacentral:sRNA from 1 species
GUCUGCACUUGUCGGGGAAGGGUGAGAACCUUCGAUUAAGGUUCGACUCGAGCGAAAGCGAGAGAACGUUGCCAACGGCAACGGCCCGUAGGGUGAGGAGCGAAGCGACGAAUAAUCCUUCCCCCACCAUCU